rnacentral:rRNA from 1 species
UACGUAGGGUGCGAGCGUUAAUCGGAAUUAUUGGGCGUAAAGCGUCCGCAGGUGGCGAUUCAAGUCUGCGGUCAAAGACUGGGGCUUAACCCUGGAAAGGCCGUGGAAACUGAAUAGCUAGAGUGCAGUAGGGGUAGAGGGAAUUCCCGGUGUAGCGGUGAAAUGCGUAGAGCUCGGGAAGAACAUCGGUGGCGAAAGCGCUCUGCUGGACUGCAACUGACACUCAGGGACGAAAGCUAGGGGAGCGAAUGGG